UACACAGCAGCGGGUGAGACACUGUAGCAACCAUCCCUGCACUCCUUCAUCUUCGGCUUUCACUAGUCACUGCAGGAUUAAGGCUUCUCCCGGCACUCUCCACCUGGUCCUGUCUGGUGUUAGUGUGCUCCAUACUAAUCCUGCUCCAGCAAUGGUUCUAAUUCCACCUCUCUGCCUGGUCCUCUGUCUGGUGUUAGUGUGCUCCAUACUAAUCCUGCUCCAGCAAUGGUUCUAAUUCCACCUCUCCACCUGGUCCUCUGUCUGGUGUUAGUGUGCUCCAUACUAAUCCUGCUCCAGCAAUGGUUCUAAUUCCACCUCUCCGCCUGGUCCUCUGUCUGGUGUUAGUGUGCUCCAUACUAAUCCUGCUCCAGCAAUGGUUCUAAUUCCACCUCUCCGCCUGGUCCUCUGUCUGGUGUUAGUGUGCUCCAUACUAAUCCUGCUCCAGCAAUGGUUCUAAUUCCACCUCUCCACCUGGUCCUCUGUCUGGUGUUAGUGUGCUCCAUCCCGCCCCGGCAAAGGUUCUAAUUCCACCUCUCCACCUGGUCCACUGUCUGGUGUUAGUGUGCUCCAUCCCGCCCCGGCAAAGGUUCUAAUUCCACCUCUCCACCUGGUCCUCUGUCUGGUGUUAGUGUGCUCCAUCCCUUUAUUGUAAUUUCUCCUUUCCUCCUCAUGGUUCCCUAACCCAAUAUCUUCACAUUCUUCGUCAGUAUUUAUUUGCAGCUCUUCACGGUCACUUUUUCCCACUGGGUCCUCGUGCAGUACUGAUAGUGUGUGUGAAGUGGGAUGACUGAUAAGUAUGAAAAGAACUGCAGUAAACCCUUGAUAUAAUGGACUAAUUGGGGGGGACUUUAGUCCGUUGAUGCCGAAAGUCCAUUAUAA